CCUUGACCUUUGACUUUGACCUUAUUUUCAUUUUUUUGGACAAAGGAACUUAAAUCCAAAGACCCUAGGCCUAUAUCACUGAUGGUUUACCAGUUAGAAACGCAUAUCACUUAUAUCAAAUGCAUAAGGGGAAAUAACUCUCAUAUGGAGUCUCCGGAUAGCUUCAGUCCAAAUGAAUAUCCUAAUCCUGAAGAAGUAACGAGCAAUUUGGUAAAAUAAAUUUGUCGUUAUCUUUUACGGUUGCGAAGUAGUAGUGGCCACAAGAAAAACAGUGUUCGGGGAGAUAACUCAUACAAGGUAAAGUAUUUUGUUACGCGGUUGUAAAUUUUUAAAGCGCAUAAACUAUACGAUAUCAUAUUCCAAAUGUCUAAGCGACAACUUAUUAAACAACAAUACUACGCACCGAAAAAAAUUAGGCGGAGAAGAAAAAAAAAAAUAAUAAUAAUAAUAAUAAUAAUAAUAAUCAGA
rnacentral:lncRNA from 1 species